AAUCACGCGGUUCGCAAACCUCCCGCGUUAACAAAACUAGGAAUUU
rnacentral:ncRNA from 1 species